rnacentral:lncRNA from 1 species
CAGCAGACACACAGUAACCUUAAGUAUUUUUUGGUCUCACCUAACAGCUAGGAAAACCCAGGCUACACUUCACUGAGAUCAAUGGAGACAGACCCGUGCAAAGAGGGAAAUAAUGCUUUUAGUAUUUUGGAUGUGUCUAAGGGCUGUGUUUAACCACAGCUGGUUUACCAGACUGUGACUGAACAAGCCUAAUUUUACCUGCUUAGCAUGGUCAGUACAAGUUCCAGUCCCCUGUUAGGCUGUCGGUUCCCCACUGGAUGGCAGUCCCUGCAACCUUAUUCACUCUGGGAAGGAAAGUCCAGCUUUGAAGCAGCAAGCUGAAAUCUCAGACUGCUCUCUAGAUGAAUAUGUACGUGAAAUGCCACAGCUGUAAAAUGAGAAGUUCACUAAGUGUUUUGCCCAAAUAAAGACAGGAAAAAGGUGCCCA